rnacentral:tRNA from 1 species
GGGGUUGUGGCUCAGUGGGAGAGUGCAUGCCUGGCACAUGUGAGGCACUGGGUUCCAGUCUCAGCCCUCA